AUGCCUGCAACCACGCCCGAGCUCCCGUCGGUUCGCCUCAACCCAGGCAGCAGCCGACGCCUUCCUCUCGCCAUGAUCUGGUCGUCCCCGCGUCGCCGUACGCCGGAGCGCUGCGACCGCUCGCCGGUGAAUCCAUUGCGCUCUUCUCUUUGCUUCUCCUCCUUCUUCCUCAUCUACAUGCCAUGCGGCCAGGGAUGGCUCACGCCAAUGCUCGGCUCGGCGCCAGACUCUCCAUGCCUGGCGGCCAGGACAGCUCUGCUCCGCGCGCUGCGGGCAGCAUCUGCACUAGGGCGCGUUGACCGUCGGCGUUGUGGUGCCAGCGGCCACAGCCGCAGACCAUGCCCUCGGUCACGUUCCUAG
rnacentral:rRNA from 1 species